rnacentral:rRNA from 1 species
CCUACGGGAGGCAGCAGUGGGGAAUAUUGCACAAUGGGGGAAACCCUGAUGCAGCGACGCCGCGUGAGUGAAGAAGUAUUUAGGUAUGUAAAGCUCUAUCAGCAGGGAAGAAAAUGACGGUACCUGAUUAAGAAGCCCCGGCUAACUACGUGCCAGCAGCCGCGGUAAUACGUAGGGGGCAAGCGUUAUCCGGAUUUACUGGGUGUAAAGGGAGCGUAGGCGGCAGCACAAGUCUGGAGUGAAAUGCCGGGGCUUAACCCCGGAACUGCUUUGGAAACUGUGCAGCUUGAGGGCAGGAGAGGUAAGUGGAAUUCCUAGUGUAGCGGUGAAAUGCGUAGAUAUUAGGAGGAACACCAGUGGCGAAGGCGGCUUACUGGACUGUAACUGACGUUGAGGCUCGAAAGCGUGGGGAGCGAACAGGAUUAGAUACCCGUGUAGUC